rnacentral:lncRNA from 1 species
AAAGAAGGCAGUCAAUAAAUGAUACUUACUUUUUAUUUUUGUUCUUGAAUCUUUUAUCUUUCUUCAUUCGAAUGCAGAAUUGAUUUUUUGGCAUAAUCCAGACGACUAGUCAAGUACGCUUCUUGUCCUUCAUGCAGGAGCAAGUGGAGAGAGGAAGUGAGCGGGGAGAGAAAGUUUGACACAAUGAAGGGAAAGGUCCAGGCCUCAGAGGAUCCUUCCUGUGAAGACAGGCCCCUCAGCAGCCACAAGCAGCCUCUUCAUGGCCUCAGUUGCGAAUCUGAGGAACAAGAUAGAGACUUCUGGUUUCUGGUCUGGUAUGUAAGGGGCUUGGAAGUCACCACUCUGCUAAACAACGAGUAAAAAUCUGAAGGAACCCAAAAUUCCUAAAUCAUUAAGGGAGGGGAGGUUGCUGGGCCAAGGGCUUCCUGGAAAACUGGAGAAACCUACACAUCACUACAGAGAAUCGCAACUUACCAUAAGCAAAACCGAAGAGCAAAAACCUCUGGGGGAACCAGUGCAGGGGUAGCAAAAACCUGAACGAAGUUGCUGAAUUGCUGGAGGCUCAUGUGGACAAGCCCGAGAGUUAGAAACUCCAGGGGACCCAGUCCCUGGCGGGAAGCCUUUGAUGGGCUUAUAGAUAAACUGUAUGUGACUCAGGAAAGAACCUCUGAGCUCGUGUAUGUCAGCAGAAACAUUCAAAACUGAAAAGCAAAGAGAGGGGCUUCUGGGUGGCUCAGUCAGUGAAGCGUCUGCCUUCACCUCCCUCUUCCUCUGCCUGCCACGGCCCCCGGCUUGUGCACGCUCUCUUUCUUUUUCAAAUAAAUAAAUAAAAUCUUUUAAAAAAUGAAAAGAGGAAAAAAAGACUGAAAAAUACAGAAUAAGAGAUCUAAGAACUGUGGGACAAGUACUUUUAAUGGGAAUACCAGAAGAAGGGGAAAGACAGCGAAUUGGGAGAAAUAUUUGAGGCAAGAAUGACUGAAAAUUUCCCCCAAAUUCAUGUCAGACACCAACUCACAGAGCCAGGAAGUCCAGAACACACCAAGCAGGAUAAAUGCCAACAUUCAUAUUUAAACUGCAG